CAAGUCGAACGAUGAAGCUGGAGCUUGCUCUGGUGGAUUAGUGGCGAACGGGUGAGUAACACGUGAGUAACCUGCCCUGGACUCUGGGAUAAGCGUUGGAAACGACGUCUAAUACCGGAUAGGACCUCGGAUCGCAUGAUCUGGGGUGGAAAGUUUUUCGGUCUGGGAUGGACUCGCGGCCUAUCAGCUUGUUGGUGAGGUAAUGGCUCACCAAGGCGUCGACGGGUAGCCGGCCUGAGAGGGUGACCGGCCACACUGGGACUGAGACACGGCCCAGACUCCUACGGGAGGCAGCAGUGGGGAAUAUUGCACAAUGGGCGCAAGCCUGAUGCAGCAACGCCGCGUGCGGGAUGACGGCCUUCGGGUUGUAAACCGCUUUUAGUAGGGAAGAAGGGCUUCGGCUUGACGGUACCUGCAGAAAAAGGACCGGCUAACUACGUGCCAGCAGCCGCGGUAAUACGUAGGGUCCGAGCGUUGUCCGGAAUUAUUGGGCGUAAAGAGCUCGUAGGCGGUUUGUCGCGUCUGCUGUGAAAACUAGAGGCUCAACCUCUAGCCUGCAGUGGGUACGGGCAGACUUGAGUGCGGUAGGGGAGAAUGGAAUUCCUGGUGUAGCGGUGGAAUGCGCAGAUAUCAGGAGGAACACCGAUGGCGAAGGCAGUUCUCUGGGCCGUAACUGACGCUGAGGAGCGAAAGCGUGGGGAGCGAACAGGAUUAGAUACCCUGGUAGUCCACGCCGUAAACGUUGGGCGCUAGAU
rnacentral:rRNA from 1 species